GACGUGCUCACGCAAUCUGGGACCGGGAAGCAAAAGAAAGGCAGUGAGGUUUUGAAGGACGUUAUUCGGGGCGCUGGUACAGCCAUGCUGCAAUGCUGAUGACAUCUCUGAAAUGGAAAUGCUGCUUUGCGGGCUGUGAGACUGAAGGAUGAUCACUCUGGGGUUACACAAAUACUGGGACUGAGAGAGAAGACAAAGUCAAGCCACUUAUGGACAGUUAUAUAAAUGGGAGGAAGGGCAGAUCAAUUCUUGGCAUAUCAAUUUAUCCUAUCCACUGGAUUAACACGGAACUCUUUCUCUCUGCAUGCAGGAAGUAAGCACAGUUAUGUUCUGUUGGCAAUAAAUAAUAUUCCUUUGCACGAAGGAGGAAGUUGUUACAAGAGAAGAGAUCCAAGAAGAGAAUAAUUUGUCCAAUAUCCUCAGAUACCCAGGUUCCAUCCUCACAUAACCAUGUGAUGCCAGGAAGCAUUUUUAUCUUAAAAUUUUUAACUCAGAAUUUUAAAUUAAAACCAACAAGAAACAUUUAAUCAAGAAGAAAACAUUGUGUAGAAAGCAGGUGAAGGCAUUCUACAUCCCUUUGGCUGGGGUUGGAGCGACAGUACAGCACACUGGUUCACUGUAGUCUGAACUCAGAGCACACGAGCCACUUUAGAGUGAUUGGGUUUGCACGGAGGUUCGCUACAUGGCACCUGAUGAGCCUUAGCUCAUUAAGUAUCUAAUGAGACAAAGUCAGAUAGGAAAAACAGCAUCAUUGACAAUGUAUUACAAAGCCAUAUAAAAAACGGCUUUAUUAAGGCAACAUCAAGUUCAGUACAUAUAGGUUAUACAGAGCUUUCAUACAUUUCAAUCAGUCGGGGAAAACAUGUAUACAAAGAGGAAUAAACAAAACUGCUGUCUCUCUCUCAUUUACCAUAUCGCACUGGAAAUAACAGAAGGCAGGUGUCUGGCUUCUGUUCAAGUGCACAGGAUGGUUCUAUGGUGCACUUGCGUGGCAUAAAGGUUUCGCUAUGUUCCAUUUGCCACAAAGGCCAUUGUGAGGACAAGUGAGAGGCAGUUUUCCUGUCUUGACAAGUCUGCAAUUCUGAAACGAAACAAUGACUGUGAGGUACAACUUACGCAAUUCCUCACAUGCACAGUAGAUUCUGCAUCCCAAGGGCUAUUACUUGCAUAGCUCUAGCUGUGAAACCAGUCUGUCGUCAUUACAAUAAUCAUUAUCAUAAGCUAACUUCUUUAAAAAAAAACACACUGAAAGACACACUCGAAAUGCCACACACCAAAACACCAUGACACUAAGAAAAACAAAACAAAGUCUGAAUCACUACAGAAGUGGAAUAGUGAAGGUCACAUUAGUGUCUGAUCUCUGCACAUAAGGCAUCUCAGUUCCUUUGGAACAGCAGGUUUUAACCAUCUGAUUCAAAUACUGUUAUAUUUUAUUAGACUGUCCCCUGCUCACCUUGGGUGACGGAGUGGGGACAGAGAAAACUUUAGGGGUGAGUACAUCAUCCCAUAUGUUUAAUGAGGCAGGCAGGUGCACUCUCACUCACUCACUCUCUCUCUCUCUCUCUCUCUGCUACAUCCUUUUUCUGUGUCCUGCACUACACACGCCAUAAACGGGUUGAAGGGGAGUGUGUGAAGUGAGGGCAGCGGUCUGCGCUGCCAGACAGGUCCGACAGGCCCUCGACUCAGCCGCAAGUCUGGCGUGGGCUCAUUCUGAUACAGUGAAGGAAGAAAGCCCCAGGCCAUAUUUACAAUAGAGCAUGUGUGUAAGGAAGGGAAAAAGCAUUUUUAAAAAAGGGCUAAAAAGUGCCUUGUUGAGGUUCACAAACCUUCACCAAACAUAAAUAACUUAAAAAACAAC